rnacentral:lncRNA from 1 species
AGAAAGCUGACUUCAAACUCUCUGAAGAGUUACUCAUUGGUGGUGCCUUUGCACAGGUCAGUCGUGACACUCGUGUGUGAAGUGUUCAGGGAAGGGAUCACAAGGCUGGGAGUUUCCCUGUUAUUUUCACUUUCAGGGAAGGAUCCUGUUGGCAAGACAUCCCCGGGCUGAUGUGACAUCACCAGGGGAGUGCUCUAGGCCAUCCUCCUGCAUGAGACAUCAGCACACAUCACCAGCAGCACUCAUUGCCUGAUAACAGCUCUGCCAGCUGAAGAUAAUGGAAUUUCACAGAAAAGGGCAGCUCUUGCAACCUCCAUUGACCCCAGCAGCAGAACUGUACUUCGUGCUGUGACUUUGGGAACAGCGACACACGUGAUGAAAUGUUCAGCUGUACAUAAUGUUUUUGCCAGAUGUCUUGGCAAAGUAAAUGGCAGACUUCAGUCUUCCUUGCAGUCACUUUGUGCUGCUGAAAACCCUGAAUGUGAUGGCACCCAGGGAAAACUGAGGAUCCGGAGAGGAGCAGUGACAAAGCUGUUCCUAGAGGGGGGGAAGACCAUCAUUCCUUGACGUGAGAUGUUCAGUAUGCAUUAUAUUUACCGGCUUAGCUUCGGAAUAACUGUUCUGCUUAAGUGCCUUGUAUCCUGUCUGUGUCUCUGCAUGGUGAGCAGUGGAGCAGAGACAACCAACAGAGCUGUUCUCACCCUGAAAUUAAGCUUUUUGUGAUGGCUCCAGGAAAAAACCCUCCUUACCUCCCCCUACCCCCAAAAAAGUGGUCUUGCAAGUUUCUCCCAACUGAAACACAAAGUGAAAAUUAAAUUUAAAUUAUUUUCUUUCUCCUAAAUCAAAUCUCACAGGCGCCAAUUGCCCUUUAAAAGGUCAAGCUUUUAGCCCACAAAAUUGUAAUCGAUACAUUAUUGACCUAAGCAACAGCCAUAAACUACAGGCUGCCUUUAUCUCCUUGCUUGGUUUCUCCUCCUUCCUGGUAGAGCACAUUUGGGCCAAGAAAGUGGCCCUAGUGAAGGUGGGGUAGGGAGGGCUCAUAAAACCUCACAUCCAUAACAGGGCUGGAGAAAUGUGAGCAUCCCUAGCACUCACAGAGCAGGAUUCCCUUCCCUUCCCUUCCCUUCCCUUCCCUUCCCUUCCCUUCCCUUCCCUUCCCUUCCCUUCCCUU